rnacentral:lncRNA from 1 species
UUUUUUUUUUUUUUUUGCUUUUCAGGAAACGCUUAGGCAAGAAUCCUGAAUAUUUCUCAGAGUCGAACCACAAAAGUAGUGCUGUUUUGGGAACUCUGAUGGGAAAAGGUCACUCAAAGUGAUCAACUAAAUCUUUGUAGGUAACUGUGGAAUGAGCAUUAACAUCACUCCUUGCUUUAGACGUUCUUCUUGAGGCUGGAUUUUGAGGAUUAGUGAAGAGUUGAUUUUACUUCCUUUUCCUCUUUUCUUUCUUUCUUUCUUUUUUUUUUUUUUUUAACUUUUUAUUGGUUCUUUGUGAAUUUCACACCAUGCAUCCCAGUCUCCCCAUACCCGCUCUUCACCCUGGCAACCUCUCCCCCGCAACAGAGGAAAAAAGUCUGAUGGAAGCUGUAGUGUGUCACAGUGUGUCCCACAGUAUCCCCCUUGGUCCACACUUCCUUGCUUGCACAUGUUCAUUGUGAUGGCUUGUAUGUGGCCUCUAGCUUUUGCUACUCUACUUGAUACUGGAGCCCUGCUAUUACUCCUGUUGGAUAUCCUGUUGUUGCCCUGGUCAUGGAGAUUGUAUAGUUUUGGAUCUGUAGGAUUGGCCCCUUCAUGCACUCAUCCAUGGGAUAGAUGUUGAGGUGGGCCAAUUCAAAGAUACAAUUCAAAGAUACCUGGACAAGUAUCCGAGCUGGUUAGCCCACCAGCUCUCCUGCUCUCAUGCCCUCAUGCCUUUGGGUCUGGGUCACCAGCAACACCUCCUCACCCCCAACCAGGGCCAGCUCUAUCCUGCUGCCUGGCGAGAUACAGGGCCCACUCUUCUGAGUGCUGCAGUUGGUGAGGGGCAUGGUCAGUUCUCCGACUCUCACGACCCUGGGGCCAGCUCUUGUGCCUGUCGUAGAUGGCAAGAGAUGAAGGAAGAGGGCGGUAAUAGAUCCCAGGCCUGGUCUCUCCAGUGGCAGAACAGGCUAGGACCCCACCAUGGUCCUAGGUGGUAUCACCAGCUAUUCACAUCAGGUAUCUUCAGGUCUCUAAAUCUGCCUCUCUUCAUGUGCCCACAUCCUUCUGUUUCUUUUUCUCUUCCCUUUCUCCACCACUUGCUUCUCUUGGUGGUGCCUGGGCUCUCUGAGUGUCUAGGGUUAGCUCAGGAGUGCCUGACUUAUGAAUUAUAGUGUUGGACAGGGGUCAUGUUGGGCAUGGUGUCAUCCCCCCUACCUCCAGGCCUGUGCAGUGCCCAACUGGUGGUUGUUCAAGGCUAGAUCCCUGUCCAGGCCCCAUGGCGCCGGUCUGGCGAUCAUCUCAGGUUUGUUCCUUGCUCUGCCUGCCUGACUCCAUGCCCAGUGACCUCAAGUGAUCACAUGUGAGGGAUCUGGGGCUCAUUACCACCCAGGGCCUCAGACCCAGGGCAGGGUUUUUCUAGUCACUGGCUUGCUCUGUGUCCUGGGAGCCAUCAAGGCCUGUGCAGUGCUAGACCGGUGGUCCUCUCAGGUUUGCCUUUCUUCAAGGAAUUUUAGGCUACUAAUCAUUUAGAUAUUCAUCAGUCAGAACACUGAGCAUAGACAUAGCUUCUGUCCUCUCUGCCACCCAACGCGUAUAGGACAUGGCAGCCACAACUGCAGUGCUUCUAGAAAAGGCAGGCUCUUCCUUUUCUAUUAACGGAUGCUAGGAACUCUUCUUCCCCUUGCAGUGCUGGGGAUCGAACUCAUUAUUUCAUACUUCUUAGGUAAGUACUCUCCCACCGAGCUCCAUCCCCAGCUUGGGAGUAAUGUUUUAUGAAGAAUUUCCCAUUAAUUGUUUUUAUAUUGAUUGAUGGAUUGAUUGUGUGUGUGUACGCGCAUGUGUGUGCAUGUGCAUGUUUGCACUCAUAGGUGCAUUCAAGUGGGUGCAUGUGCACUGUGGCACUGUAUCAGCACUGGAUUGUAGGCAUGUGCACUGUGACACUGUAUCAGCACUGGAUUGUAGGCAUGUGCACUGUGACACUGUAUCAGCACUGGAUUGUAGGCAUGUGCACUGUGACACUGUAUCAGCACUGGAUUAUAGGCAUGUUCACUGUGGCACUGUAUUGGCACUGGAUUGUAGGCAUGUGCACUGUGGCACUGUAUUGGCACUGGGUUGUAGGCAUGUGCACUGUGACACUGUAUCGGCACUGGAUUGUAGGCAUGUGCACUGUGGCACUGUAUCAGCACUGGAUUGUAGGCAUGUGCACUGUGGCACUGUAUCGGCACUGGAUUGUAGGCAUGUGCACUGUGGCACUGUAUCAGCACUGGAUUGUAUGCAUGUGCACUGUGGCACUGUAUCAGCACUGGAUUGUAUGUGUGUGCACUGUGGCACUGGGCUUUUGUUUUUUCUUUUUAAACAAGGGUGAUUGAGUUCAGGUCCCCAUGCUUAUGCAGCAACAAGCACUUUAUCGAUUGAGUGAUCCCCAGCCCAUUUUGUUUUCAGGUAGUGGUUCUCAGCUUUGUCAGUGUGUGGUCCUUUACAACAGUUUAGUGUUGCAGUGACCCCAGCCAUAAAAUUGUUUGCUGCAUUCCAUAAUUGUAAUUGUAAUUUAAUAUCUGUAUUUUCCAUUGGUCUUAGGUGACCUCUGUGAAAGGGUUAUUCAACCCUCAAGGGGUCGUGACCCACAGGUCAAGAACCAUUGUUUUAAAGUUAGAAAAAAAUUCCAUUUGGUUGGAAAACCCCUGGGUGCCCGCAGUCUAAGUGCAGAUUUAUAGUACUUUCCUAUGAUAUCAGCUGGUCUCCUACUGGACAUUUUAAUAUGAUGGUGUUUAAUUGCUUAAGGCCCUCUAGAGCCAUGGGCUGUUGACCUCAGAGCUCUGUAACAUAUAUAGUAAUUGUCUACUUGGUGGUACACGUGUGGCAGGAAUGACUUUUAGGCCAGAGAGAUAGCUUAGCAAGUAAGGGCAUUUGCCAUUAUCUUGGGCAACAAAAGUUUGGUUCCUGGAACUUUAUGGAAGGAGAGAAUCAACUGACUCUUGCAGGUUGUCCUCUGACCCCUACACACGCAUAGUGGCAAACACAUAUUUACAUACAUAUACACAUGCAUACAAUAAAUUAAUGUAAUUUUAAAAUAACAGUUUGAAGUUAAUUACAGUAUUUUUCAAAUAAGAACAAGAGAUCUAAGCUGGUCUUAAAAAUAGCUGAGUGAUUUAUGGUUGAAUAUAUUAAAUAUUUUCAUCAUUCUUCCUUUCUCCUAGACAUAAACUGGUACUUUAAAAAUAAUUGCUUUUCCCUUAGCUUUGUAAAAGUCCCAAGUUUGCACAUGUGCACAAAGACAGCAUAACCAGCCACAUCUGUUUGGUUUGUGCUAGUGUGUCUUCCCCUAGAUUGGUCUAAUUUCAGAGGAUGGUGAGUGGAUGGUGACUGUGCACACCCAGGGUCAAGAUAGCCACUCAGCUCCAUUGUCAGGUCUUUGGAGCAUCUUUUUAGUUGUUCAGAUUGUUUUGAUACUGAGAACUGAGUCGUUUUUCAUUGUUUUUUUGGUACUGACCUUCAGUAAUCAAGUCACCCUUAUAUUAACAGGUUAAUAUUGGUAAGGAUGAUUGUUGCAGAAUUUGAAAACAAUAUCUUUGAAAAGGACAGCUGAAUGCUGCCAAGUUCCCAGACUUUGCCUAGCAUGGCAAAAGCUCUGGGUUUUCUCCCUAGCACUAUAAACUACUAAUGGCAGUACACUCCUGUAAUCCCAACACUCAGAAGUCAGAGUUAGGGGGAUCAGAACUGUUAGCAUAGGUUAGACACUAUUUAAAAAAAAAAGAUUGCUGGAGAAAAGGGUUAGUGAUCAAGAUCACUUAUUGCAUUUGGAGAGGACCCAGAUUUGGCUUACAGCCACCCCUAACUCCAAUUUUAAGGGAUCUGACACUUUUCUAAUCUCUGUGAACACCAGACACCUACAUGGUAUAUACAUACGUUCAGACAGAACACCCGUAUACAUAGAAUGAAAUAAGUAUAUCU